AGAGUUUGAUCAUGGCUCAGGAUGAACGCUGGCGGCGUGCCUAACACAUGCAAGUCGAGCGAUCUUCUUCGGAAGAGAGCGGCGGACGGGUGAGUAACGCGUGGGUAACCUGCCUCAUACACAUGGAUAACAUACCGAAAGGUAUGCUAAUACAAGAUGAUAUAAGAGAUUCGCAUGGAUUUCUUAUCAAAGCUCCGGCGGUAUGAGAUGGACCCGCGUCUGAUUAGCUAGUUGGUAAGGUAACGGCUUACCAAGGCGACGAUCAGUAGCCGACCUGCGAGGGUGAUCGGCCACAUUGGAACUGAGACACGGUCCAAACUCCUACGGGAGGCAGCAGUGGGGAAUAUUGCACAAUGGGCGAAAGCCUGAUGCAGCAACGCCGCGUGAGCGAUGAAGGCCUUCGGGUCGUAAAGCUCUGUCCUCAAGGAAGAUAAUGACGGUACUUGAGGAGGAAGCCCCGGCUAACUACGUGCCAGCAGCCGCGGUAAUACGUAGGGGGCUAGCGUUAUCCGGAUUUACUGGGCGUAAAGGGUGCGUAGGUGGUUUCUUAAGUCAGGAGUGAAAGGCUACGGCUCAACCGUAGUAAGCUCUUGAAACUGGGAAACUUGAGUGCAGGAGAGGAAAGUGGAAUUCCUAGUGUAGCGGUGAAAUGCGUAGAUAUUAGGAGGAACACCAGUAGCGAAGGCGGCUUUCUGGACUGUAACUGACACUGAGGCACGAAAGCGUGGGGAGCAAACAGGAUUAGAUACCCUGGUAGUCCACGCCGUAAACGAUGAGUACUAGGUGUCGGGGGUUACCCCCCUCGGUGCCGCAGCUAACGCAUUAAGUACUCCGCCUGGGGGAGUACGCUCGCAAGAGUGAAACUCAAAGGAAUUGACGG
rnacentral:rRNA from 1 species